rfam:Solanum lycopersicum cultivar Heinz 1706 chromosome 3, whole genome shotgun sequence.
UGAAGAAGAAUACAAGAGUGAUAUUGGUUCGGCUCAUCUCUUAUCUGUUUCGCGAAUCAGAAAUUAGUGAGCCAAACCAAUAUCACGCCAUGUCUUCUUCUUC